rnacentral:rRNA from 1 species
GAUGAACGCUGGCGGCGUGCCUAAUACAUGCAAGUAGAACGCUGAAGGAGGAGCUUGCUCUUCUGGAUGAGUUGCGAACGGGUGAGUAACGCGUAGGUAACCUGCCUGGUAGCGGGGGAUAACUAUUGGAAACGAUAGCUAAUACCGCAUGACAACAGUUAUUGCAUGAUAACUGUUUAAAAGGGGCAACUGCUCCACUACCAGAUGGACCUGCGUUGUAUUAGCUAGUUGGUGAGGUAACGGCUCACCAAGGCGACGAUACAUAGUCGACCUGGGAGGGUGAACGGCCACACUGCGACUGAGACCCGGCCCAGACUCCUACGGGAGGCAGCAAUAGGGAAUCUUGGGCAAUGGACGGAAGUCUGACCGAGCAACGCCGCGGGAGUGAAGAAGGUUUUCGGAUCGUAAAGCUCUGUUGUAAGAGAAGAACGAGUGUGAGAGUGGAAAGUUCACACUGUGACGGUAUCUUACCAGAAAGGGACGGCUAACUACGUG